rnacentral:rRNA from 1 species
CAGCAGCCACGGGAAUACGAAGGGGGCGAGCGUUGCUCGGAAUGACUGGGCGUAAAGGGCGCGUAGGUGGUACGGACAGUCAGAUGUGAAAUUCCCGGGCUCAACCUGGGGGCUGCAUUUGAUACGUCCGAACUAGAGUGUGGAAGAGGGUCGUGGAAUUCCCAGUGUAGAGGUGAAAUUCGUAGAUAUUGGGAAGAACACCGGUGGCGAAGGCGGCGACCUGGUCCAUUACUGACGCUGAGGCGCGAAAGCGUGGGGAGCAAACAGGAUUAGAGACCCCUGUAGUCCCUGUCUCUUAUAC